UACGUAGGGGCGAGCGUUGUCCGGAUUUAUUGGGCGUAAAGCGCUCGCAGGUGGUUCGAUGCGUCGUGCGUGAAAGCCCCCGGCUCAACUGGGGAGGGUCAUUCGAUACUGUCCGACUCGAAGGCAGGAGAGGGAAGCGGAAUUCCCGGUGUAGUGGUGAAAUGCGUAGAUAUCGGGAGGAACACCAGUGGCGAAGGCGGCUUUCUGGCCUGUUCUUGACGCUGAGGCGCGAAAGCUAGGGGAGCGAACGGG
rnacentral:rRNA from 1 species